UAGAGGAUUAGUUUGUUAAUUAUUCAUACCAGUAAUUAUUUACAAAAGACUUAUAUAAGUUUCAAAUUUGGGAUAAUUAUCAUUUACGUCAAACAUACUCCCAAAACGUCUAGUAAUGCCAACAACAGACUUAUCCAAUGGAGGAUACCAAAAAAUUCAGCUUAUUGGCUUUAACCAAAAAUUCAUGUUUCUUUUGGGUAUAUGGCCCUAUAAAACAGGCGACAUAAAAGAACUGCUUUACGAAUCUUACUUCUGGUUAUCGUUAAUUUACUUUCUUUUAUUCAAUACUAGCGGAUUUGCGUUAGCUAUUUUAACUUGGUCGGAUGAUUAUAUUGCAACUGCUUCUAGUAUGGGUAUUGUUAUAGAGUAUGUUAGUUGUGCUUAUAAGAUUCUUAUAUUCAAAUCCAAAACAUUCAAAUGCCUUAUUCGUCAAAUAAAAAUUAAGGAAAACCAGAUUCUCCAAAGUCAAGACUCAGAUUUUAUAAAGAUCUAUAGACAGGAUGCUCAGGAUAAUAAAAGCCUCGUUUUAUUAUACACAAUUAUGGGAACUACCGGAAUAAGUCUAUACUUUAUCGUACCUUUAGUGAGCAAUAUUGUAAUUCCAUUGGAUUACAAUAAUAAAACUGGGAUUAUCAAGCACCACUUUAUUGUCUUCACCUGGUUUCCAUUUGACCCUGAUAGAUAUUAUUGGGCGGCAUACUUAAUACAAUUUUUUGGUUGUUUAUACGGUUAUGCCUAUAUAGUGCAUGGAGGAGCGUUUCAUUUAAGCAUUUUAUCUUUUAUUAAAUUAAGACUCAAAAUUAUUCAGCAUAUUUUUACAAAUUUUACGAAGUAUUCUGAAAAGAGUCAGCGAGAAUAUAAAUUAGAAACGGCCGAGCAAUCCCAAAUGGUUUUGCUUAAACUCAUUAUACUUGAACAUCUUGAUAUCAUAAAGUUUGUGAAAGAUCUGAACCAAGCUAUAAGAAUUUACACUUUAUUCAAUUUUAUAAUAUCAUCAUUUCAACUAUCCCUUGUAGUGUAUCAACUGUUUAAACUACCUUUUCUAAAAGUAAUUCCAGUAUUUACUUAUUUCACAACCCUGAGUACACAUUUAUUCCUAAUCUACAGUGCUGCCCAUAAUAUUUCAAUUGAGAGCGAGAACAUUGCGUCAAGUAUUUUUAAAGGUAACUGGGAUUCUUACUCUUUCAGAGUAAUUAAAACAAUGCAAAUGAUUUGCAUAAGGGCACAAAAGCCCCUAGUAAUGACGAUUGGACCCAUUGCGGAUGUGAAAGUUACGUCGCUGUUUCAGGUAAAUUUAUAAAGGUCUGUCCAAAUAAAAUUUUAAAGUGGAUAUUUAGGUGUAGUCAAGCAUAUAGUUAUAUCUAACAAUGAAGCUUCUAUCAAUGCGUCUUUAAUAAUAUUUGAAUGUUUUUGAACCUUUUAGAAUACUAGCAAAAACAACGUAUAUUGUAAUUAGUUUUGAAUUUCUCUUAGAAAACCCCACAGAGAAAAGUAGAAACCAUUUUCCAAAAUGUGAACAUUUUAUUUUUAGGCAGGUUCUAUACUAAAUCUUAAAAGUAAAAAAAAUAUGUUUAUUAAAAGAUUUUUUACUUUACAAGGCUUGACAUCUUGCAAAGUCCCACAUUUAAGCAAUUGUUAAUAUGGAUCCUUAAAUGUGAGUUCCGCAGUAAUUUGAUCCGCAUAACCAAACAAAUAUAACACUUCAGCAGUCUCUUGAUGAAAUGAGUUUGUAAGUUUUUUGUCUUGAUGUAAAAUGCAUGUAUUACCAAUGUUCCUUUGUAUUAUUUAAACAAGGCAACUUUUACCCUCCCUAAUGCUAUAAUUUUGCUAAUAAACAAUCAAGAAUACUGGUCUCUUUUUUAAAUUGGCUCAACAAUUCACUUUUUUUCUGGAAUUUUUCCUUCAUCCAUACUUUACUGCUUUACUUCUGCAAGUAAUAUGCUGACUGAUUAUUACAUUACUUUUAUUUUGAGGUAAACACUGUUGCUAAUUGAUCAAUCCCAGAACUGGAAUCAUUCCAAGUGUUUCUACUUUCUCGACUGAAAAAUAUAUUCAAGGCAUUAUACUCAUAUAUUUGCAUCAUUUUAAGGAUAUCAAAUACAAAAAUAGAUUAGUUUAAUAUAUAUCUACAUCAGGUGAAAAACAAU